ensembl:lncRNA
GGCCGCGCCGGGAUCCGGCCGAACCAAACAUAGAGUUUGGCCUGGCUAUUUUUAGCGGGGCCUCAGGCGCGAGCGCGCCGCGUGAGGGGGCGCCCUGACCCUGCCUGCAGCUCGGAGGGGGCGGGAGUGGCGGAGUCGCCAUCUUGGACUCGGCUUGACCCUGUCUGGUGACCCGCGAGGCCGGGCCGGGCUCGGCGCCGGGGGUCAGGGCCUAAUCUACGUGCAGGAAAGAAAAUAUUCUUCUCAGAGAACAAAAUGUGAAAUUUUGGGGAAAUUUUUGUGUGUGAUAUAAAGCAAUUGUUUUAACAAAGUGAGGGUUUAAAAAUUGCUUAAAAUGUUCUUUUGAUGAAGCAGUAAAAGGAAAUCUUGGUUUUGCUAGUGUGUAAGGAAUAAUGAUUAUUCUUAUUAAUACAAAGAUAGGAUGAGGAAAAAUGAAAUAAAAAUUCCAAGCCAGAAGUUGCUACCUAACAUGAAAAUAAAAGGGGAAGCCCAAGAAUUGUAAAUCGAGAUUUUCUGAAAUAAAAAGUUCUAUACUAUAUUUAAGAUACAUACAUAAAAUUUAGUAGUAACUGACAUAUAUGCACUUAACAUGUACCUGGCUCAAGAAUCCAGGACUAUUGUAAUUUUCUAUCUGAUCUUCUUUCGUACUCUCCUCUCUUACGAAUUUUAUCAUUAGUCUUCCUAAAAUACAACUUUUGUUAUAUCACUCAGCCUAAGAAGUUUCCAGCAGCUGGAUAUUAUCUGUAAAAUAUAACCAAAGGCCACUCAAAUUUCCGCAGAAUUUCUCUGUCCUACUCAGGCUGUAUCCUAUUGUUCUUCAAACAUCCUUUCAGCCUCCCACAUUUGCUUGUAGUUUUCCUUUUUAUGGUAUUCAUUCUCUCCCUCCUUGUCCACUUAUAGAAAUCUUACCCUUCCUAAAACUAGCUGAAGAAGUGAACUCAGAUUGUCUUUCAUUAAAUUCUUACUUUACUGCCUUCUUUUUGAAUACUUGUGUUCAGAUCCUAUAACCUUGUCAAGCUUGAAAAACGAUGCAUUACACAUCUUUGAAUUUUCUCUAACAUCUAAUAAUAUUCAGCAUAGAUAGAGUAAAUGUCCAUAAAAUAUUGGCUCAUCUAACUUGAAUAUGAAUAGAGCAGUCAUAAGUAACAGAUUAUAUGUAUUAGAAUAUUAUUGGCACAAAUGGACUUAUAUGAGGUCGUACAUUAUUUUCUUUGCCUGAACUUUUGAUAUUCCUGAUUGAACAUCCUAUGUCAAGGUGUCCGCCAGAAGUGCAGACAGCUUUGAGGUGAUACAAGGAAAUGGCAGUUUGGCUUGUUGCGUAGGCAGAUUUGUAACAUCUUUAAAAAAAUGUUUUUUUUUCCUGGUAGACUUUUGGUUUGACUCUUCUUCUAACCCCUUUCCCCCUGUUAGCACUUUCUCUUAUGCUGCUUUCUCUCGAUGAGAAAUGCUGAACGCUAGAAAAUAUUAGUAUCAAUUUUUUAAGAAAGAUGUUUUAAUGUUUAGAAAUUUGGAAAUUAGGGCAUUUAUGUAUAACUAGUUAAAUGUAAAAAUUCUUGAAUUUCAAAUCUUUUCCAAAAUAGGUUUGUAUGACACUAUGCAUAUGAAGAGAUAAACAGGGCAAAAAGAUUUUGGGGUUAAGAUUUAUUAGAAACCUGUGUUAUUUAGAAUAUUAAAAUUUUUACUUUAUUAAGGAAAAAGCAGUAUGAUAGGUCAGGAAAGAAUUUCUGUAUUAUAGAAAAUUUAGAAAAAAGUGGAAAUCUGAGAUGAAAAGAUUACUUAAUGGAGAGUUGAAUCUUAUUAAAUAAUGAUUUUCUAUCUGUAAUAAUAAUAGUCAGGAAAGGCUUGCAAUCUGGUUAAAAGGAUAGUUUUAUUUCUUAGUCAUGUUUUUCCCAAUCACUGGUAAACCCUGGAAGACCACAAUAAUUUGGGAGAGAAAAGUUGUUACUUACGAG